rnacentral:lncRNA from 1 species
CUGGAGGGAAUCUCAGGAUCUCAACACAAGCUGUACUUAUCUAUUCUAAUUCCAAGGGGCUUUUCUAACUCUCUCCAAGGCUCACCUCUUAUGGAUGCUUCUCAGUUUAUGGCAGGUUACAUCCAGCAUAUACUGGAAAUGUCACAAGUCAGUGUGUGGCUCAGCUGCAGGGCUCUUGCCUAGCAUUUGCGAGGCCCUGGGUCCCAUCCCUAGCUCAAAAGAAAAAAAAAAAACAAUGAAAGGAAAACAUUCUGAGUCAAAAAUUCAUUGAACACCCCUAAUCCCUCAAACAUCCCAGCUCAGCAACACAGCACACUGCGGAGUGAAGGAUCACAGGCUGCCUGGGAUGCUGCUCACUGGCACAGCCCAACAUGGAGAGAGCAACUACCUCACCACAUUUCACCAGUCCAGGACAAGAUCUAAAUUGGAAAUUUGAAGCACAGUUUAUUCUGAAUAUGUGUAUCACUCUCAUACGACCCUAAGUGGGAUUGUCAUAAGUUGGGACUGUCUGUUCAGCCUUGGAACCUGAAUCCCCCUUUUGACUACUGAUUCUCCUGCCAGUGACCUGAGUCCUUUGUCAGACUCUUGCAGCUCCCGCAAGCUGGCCUGGCUGCCUCAGAUCAGGAAUGAGGCCUGGGCUGCCUUCCUGUGUCUGCCUACCAAGUAGUCCUACCUUCUCCAAGUCUAUGGGUCUCUCCUCCCUUCCGCUCUCUAAACAGAAUGAAGAGAAAUUGAUCCCAAGUGGCAAAUGAUGGCUGACCCCCUUUUCUAUUUCCUGCCUCUGUGCUUUUUGCUUUCUAUUUCAAGGUCCCUUGCUGUCCCUUGCCUUUAUACCUCCCACUCACCUCAGAUGUGCUUCUCAUAGGACCCUCUUCUGAGCUCCUCUAACAUCCCACACAUACCCCCAUUACGACAACUUUCAUUUUCAGUUUUUUGUUUAUUGCACCAUUCAAAAUAAAUGUUUAUUGAGUACCUGCUAUGUGCCAGACCUGAAUCCAGGUGCUGGGAAUUCCAUCAGUGAACAAAUCAUAUUCCAGCUGGUGGGGACUGGCCAGGGGAAGCCUGUUUGGAAGCCAGGGAGCAAAUAAAAUAAGUAGAGUUAUAUCAUUUAAUAACAAGAUGAGUUCUGAGAUGUGACCUUAGGCAAUUUCAUCAUCAUGAGAUUAUCAUAGAAUACACUUACACAAACUUGAUGAUCUUUUUCCACUACAUGCCUGCACCAUGUGGUCUGUACAUGAUAUGGCCUUCUGCUCCCAGAGCCACAAUGAGCAAAGCAACAAAGAUUAAGUCCACAGGAAAAAAGAAAUGAUGUAAUCAAAAGACAUGGUAAACACAUGACAUAUGAAGCAGCUGCCAUCAUCAAACAGAACACUCUUUACAGGAAAG